rnacentral:misc_RNA from 1 species
UCCGGUUUGUCACCGGCAGUCUCCUUAGAGUGCCCAACUAAAUGCUGGCAACUAAGAACAAGGGUUGCGCUCGUUGCGGGACUUAACCCAACAUCUCACGACACGAGCUGACGACAGCCAUGCAGCACCUGUGUCCAGGUUCCCUUUCGGGCACCCCUGCAUUUCUGCAGGGUUCCUAGCAUGUCAAGCCCAGGUAAGGUUCUUCGCGUUGCGUCGAAUUGAACCACAUGCUCCGCUGCUUGUGCGGGUCCCCGUCAAUUCCUUUGAGUUUUAGCCUUGCGGCCGUACUCCCCAGGCGGGGCACUUAAUGCGUUAGCUUCGGCACCGGAGGAGUCGACACCUCCGACACCUAGUGUCCAUCGUUUACGGCGUGGACUAC